UACGUAGGGUGCAAGCGUUGUCCGGAAUUAUUGGGCGUAAAGAGCUCGUAGGCGGCUCAUUGCGUCGUCGGUGAAACCCGUGGCUUAACUGCGGCUUGCCGACGAUACGGGUGGCGUGGAGUUCGGUAGGGAGACUGGAAUUCCUGGUGUAGCGGUGAAAUGCGCAGAUAUCAGGAGGAACACCGGUGGCGAAGGCGGGUCUCUGGGCCGAUACUGACGCUGAGGAGCGAAGCGUGGGGAGCGAACAGG
rnacentral:rRNA from 1 species